rnacentral:tRNA from 1 species
GGUUGUGGCUUAGUGGCAGAGUGCUUGUCUCACACAUGUGAGGCACUGGGUUCAAUCCUUAGCACCA